GCAAAGCCCUCUCUCUCAGGGUCAGAGUCCAAAGACUCCGAUUCGCCGACUCAGUGGUGGUUCACUGUUCACUCCCUCACCGCCUCUCUCUUUUUCCGGCGACCUCUCUCCGUCCGCAAAAGAUCGGCGUCCGAUUCAAGCAUUUCCUUCCUCAAAUGAGUAUCGUCCGAUCUUGUAUCUCACUCGCAGCGAUUCGUGCAUAGCUCGACCUCCAUGGCCAUCAGAGGCGUCGAUUUCAAAUGGUACGAUGGAUUCUUCUUGUCGAUGCUCGCGACCGGUGUGUAUCCUUUAUUAGGGUUUCGAUUUCAAUCUCUGCAAUUCGUUUUUCGUUUUGGAUUAUCUGUUUGUGCGAGACCAGUGUGUAUCCUUUAGAUUUGAUAAUGUCUUAAAUGUAGGAGUGUGCUUCACUAUUGGAUUAUAAUCUACCAAAGUAUAGUACUUUGAUCGUUACCAUCUAGCAUUUACAGAAGAAGUGAUAGAAGAUAGUUUCAAUGUCAAAAAUUGUAGAUGGACUUUCUCGUGAAAUAUAGAAAAUUUGGGAAUGGCUUUUUGAGUAUUGGAAGCCAUUAGGUCUUCUUCCUUGCGGUGGUGAAGUGGUGGCGUGUUUGGGGUUGGAUGACCAUUGAGCUAUAUGUUUCUUAAUUCAGAAGGGGGAGGAACUAGACAACUGAGAAUGUAUUCAAUAAAGCUCCUGUUGUUGACAAGGAUGCAUUUGUGGCCCAAGUGCCUCCGUCAUUGGUGAUGUUCAAGUGGGAAGAGGAUCUUCUAUUUGGUAUGGAUGUGUAUUGAGAGGUUCCCUCUAUUUUUGCAAAUGGUCAACGAGAGAUUGGAGAGUGCUUAGCAAGGGCAUUGGAGAACGUUGAAAAGAAAGGGCAUACUCAUUGUGCUCUUAAGAGUGAAUCUUUGAGACCCAUGUUGGUUUGGAAAUUGAAAGUCCAAAUCUUUGAGACCUAAGUCUCAGAGCAAAGUUAGUAGAGAAGACCAGGGACCUGCCCAUUUUGAAAUGAAGGGAGGAAGAUUAAGGUGUUGGUAGUUCUUACUAGUUCUGUUUGAUUAUGAGGUCUUAGACUUUUAGCAGUAUGGCAGUGGAUCCUGCCACGAAUUUUGGCUCUAUGAUGUAAGACUUCUUUAUGGGAAAUGGUUGGCAUGUGGCAUCAAAUCAAGCUAUAAUUAAUCAGCCCCUUCAAGUACUCUGUAAUCAAUCUGAGGACAAUUCUAAUCUAGAUAGCAUGUUCUAUAUUUGAAAAUCAGUUUAAUUAUACUAUGAUUUUGUAAUAUGAAGUUAUUUAAUUGAUAUAAUUUACUACAUGAAUACUUUUGUUUACUAUGCUUGAAUG